CGUGAGCAACCUGCCCUGGACUCUGGGAUAAGCGCUGGAAACGGCGUCUAAUACUGGAUAUGAGACACAACCGCAUGGUUAGUGUUUGGAAAGAUUUUUUGGUCUGGGAUGGGCUCGCGGCCUAUCAGCUUGUUGGUGAGGUAAUGGCUCACCAAGGCGUCGACGGGUAGCCGGCCUGAGAGGGUGACCGGCCACACUGGGACUGAGACACGGCCCAGACUCCUACGGGAGGCAGCAGUGGGGAAUAUUGCACAAUGGGCGGAAGCCUGAUGCAGCAACGCCGCGUGAGGGAUGACGGCCUUCGGGUUGUAAACCUCUUUUAGCAAGGAAGAAGCGAAAGUGACGGUACUUGCAGAAAAAGCGCCGGCUAACUACGUGCCAGCAGCCGCGGUAAUACGUAGGGCGCAAGCGUUAUCCGGAAUUAUUGGGCGUAAAGAGCUCGUAGGCGGUUUGUCGCGUCUGCUGUGAAAUCCCGAGGCUCAACCUCGGGCCUGCAGUGGGUACGGGCAGACUAGAGUGCGGUAGGGGAGAUUGGAAUUCCUGGUGUAGCGGUGGAAUGCGCAGAUAUCAGGAGGAACACCGAUGGCGAAGGCAGAUCUCU
rnacentral:rRNA from 1 species